rnacentral:rRNA from 1 species
CCUACGGGCGGCAGCAGUGGGGAAUAUUGCACAAUGGGGGAAACCCUGAUGCAGCGACGCCGCGUGAGUGAAGAAGUAAUUCGUUACGUAAAGCUCUGUCAGCAGGGAAGAAAUACUGACCUUACGGUCAGCAGACGGUAUCUGAGUCAGAAGCCCCGGCUAACUACGUGCCAGCAGCCGCGGUAAUAAGUAGGGGGCAAGCGUUAUCCGGAUUUACUGGGUGUAAAGGGGGCGUAGACGGUGCGGCAAGUCUGGAGUGAAAUGCCGCAGCUUAACUGCGGAACUGCUGUUGAAACUGGCGAACUAGAGUGCGGGAGGGGUAAGCGGAAUUCCUAGUGUAGCGGUGAAAUGCGUAGAUAUUAGGAGGAACACCGGUGGCGAAGGCGGCUUACUGGACCGUAACUGACGUUGAGGCUCGAAAGCGUGGGGAGCAAACAGGAUUAGAUACCCUAGUAGUC